rnacentral:rRNA from 1 species
ACUCCUACGGGAGGCAGCAGUGGGGAAUAUUGCACAAUGGGCGCAAGCCUGAUGCAGCCAUGCCGCGUGUGUGAAGAAGGCCUUCGGGUUGUAAAGCACUUUCAGUCGUGAGGAGGUAUGUGUAGUUAANAGCGCAUUAUUUGACGUUAGCACAGAAGAAGCACCGGCUAACUCCGUGCCAGCAGCCGCGGUAAUACGGAGGGUGCGAGCGUUAAUCGGAAUUACUGGGCGUAAAGCGCAUGCAGGUGGUUUGUUAAGUCAGAUGUGAAAGCCCGGGGCUCAACCUGAGUAUUGAAUACUGGCAGACUAGAGUACUGUAGAGGGGGGUAGAAUUUCAGGUGUAGCGGUGAAAUGCGUAGAGAUCUGAAGGAAUACCGGUGGCGAAGGCGGCCCCCUGGACAGAUACUGACACUCAGAUGCGAAAGCGUGGGGAGCAAACAGGAUUAGAUACCCUGGUAGCUACGAGU